GGCCUAACACAUGCAAGUCGAACGCCCCGCAAGGGGAGUAACAGACGGGUGAGUAACACGUGGGAACGUACCCUUUGGUUCGGAACAACGCCGGGAAACUGGCGCUAAUACCGGAUACGCCCUGUGAAGGGGAAAGGCUUGCUGCCUGAGGAGUGGCCCGCGUUCGAUUAGCUAGAUGGCGGGGUAACGGCCCACCAUGGCGACGAUCGAUAGCUGGUCUGAGAGGAUGGCCAGCCACAUUGGGACUGAGACACGGCCCAAACUCCUACGGGAGGCAGCAGUGGGAAUAUUGGACAAUGGGCGCAAGCCUGAUCCAGCCAUGCCGCGUGAGUGAUGAAGGCCUUAGGGUUGUAAAGCUCUUUCGCACGCGACGAUAAUGACGGUAGCGUGAGAAGAAGCCCCGGCUAACUUCGUGCCAGCAGCCGCGGUAAU
rnacentral:rRNA from 1 species